UACUAGCCCCGAUAGUAGUGGAAAUCCUUUUGCUUUUUUCUUUAAAAAGCAAAAGAUUACUUCACUUUAUUUUUAUUUUAAUUUGGAGUUCAGUGAACUUCGUUUGCAACGGAUAGCGGGAUUAGCU
rnacentral:sRNA from 1 species